GACGAACGCUGGCGGCGUGCUUAACACAUGCAAGUCGAACGGAAAGGCCCUGCUUGCCGGGUACUCGAGUGGCGAACGGGUGAGUAACACGUGGGUGAUCUGCCCUGCACUUCGGGAUAAGCCUGGUAAACUGGGUCUAAUACCGGAUAGGAGCCAUAUUUAGUGUGAUGGUUGGAAAGUUUUUUCGGUGUAGGAUGAGCUCGCGGCCUAUCAGCUUGUUGGUGGGGUAAUGGCCUACCAAGGCGGCGGCGGGUAGCCGGCCUGAGAGGGUGGACGGCCACAUUGGGACUGAGAUGCGGCACAGACACCUACGGGAGGGAGAAGUGGGGAAUAUUGCACAAGGGGCGCAAGCCGGAUGCAGCGACGCCGCGUGGGGGAUGACGGCCUUCGGGUUGUAAACUACUUUCGCUAGGGACGAAGCUUUUUGUGACGGUACCUAGAUAAGAAGCACCGGCUAACUACGUG
rnacentral:rRNA from 1 species